rnacentral:sRNA from 1 species
AGGCAGUAAAUUGUGAGGCGGGGUCUGGAUGGAAAGGCGGGGCCCGCUGAAAGAAGGCGACCCGAGUUCUACUUCCUAGUAAGGGACGUCUCUGGAGAGAUCCUGAGGUUUUUGAGGUCAGUGGUUUUCAAUCUUGGUUGGCUGUACAUAGGAGUCACUUGGGGAGCUUGAGAAAAAUACCGAUACCUGAGUCCCACCCCCGAGAAAUUCUGAUGAAAUGGGUCCAGGGUCAGCCUGAGUGGUGGAACUGGGACUGGGGCCGAGGAGUGGACAAGUAUAGGGGUAUUUCUGACCCUUCCCCUCAUUUCACCUCUUCUUUCUCCCACGGGUUCCUUUCUGGAAGCCUCUUUUGCCUACACACCGGCAGUGUCCUUCCCGCACUCAGAGGGCCUCUCUGGAGCCAGUUCCAGGCCACCCAUGGGCCUUGGCCCCGCCCCCUACCCAUGGCUGGCAGAUUCGUGGCCCCACCCAUCUCGAAGCCCCUCGGCCCAGGAACCCAGGGGAAGCUGCUGCCCUAGCAAUCCUGACCCGGACGACAGAUAUUACAAUGGUGAGGAGUUCUCAUUCC